ACUCUGGCAAAGAACUUCUCCAUAUUGACAGGAUCUGGUGCUUGAAGAACCUCUGAUAGAUAAUUCAAGGAAUCCUUCACUGUUCCUGCCGUGUCGCCCCAUCCUUUCACCAAUCCCCACUCCUCAAAUCUGCAUAUUUUGAAGACCGCCGACAAACACUUCGGCCAGGAGCAGCGCUGUCUGAAGCUUGUUCACGGUACUGAGAGUUUCAUUGAUCAUCAGCUUCUGCAAACAUCAGUCAGGAGAUUAAAAACCUUUAAUUAUAUGGCUUUAAGAGUAUAUCGUCUGGCUCUUCUUACUUGGCCUCGGUGAUUGAGCUUAAGCAAGUAGUCCAACAACGGCCUCAAGCUUUCAGAGUGCUCAUUGAGUCUUGAUGACAUGAAUCUCGAUAUGAACUGCAUGCCAUUUCCUAUAGAAGACGGCAAGGUGAUGAGGGGCGUUGAUUGGUUGAACGCUCCAAAAUCUACUUCCAGCGAGUUCACAUCUCUUGCCCUGCCAUUGUUCCAUGGAAUUUACAGAAUGCUGUUCAAUUUGCAGUUAACUAACUGUCUGAUUCUUAGCUACAAAAGGAAUACCAACCAUUUCUCAUUGAAAAUAGUUUCUUUGCACUUCAAGUAUUCAGAAGGUGUGAUUUCUUCAACUGAGAGGUCUUCUGAAUGGACCUUGACAAACUCCCAUAUUCCCGGUUGAACCCUGACUGCAAAUGCGACGAGAGGGGGGAGAACAGCAGCUUCCUGUCAGUUAAUACUGUUAGUACUGCUUGAUCGAACAGAGAACACAAUGAAUGUUGAUUGUUACCUGAGUUGAACCAAUAAUGUAACCCAGAAAUCCUUCCAUAAGUUUGGUCUUCUCUACCUUGUCAUCCAUGGACUUGUCCAAUUCCUCCAUCAACUGUGGGUUCUUCAUGAGCCUUCUUCCCUUGGAGACAUACCUGAUACCCCACAUGGAAGAUAAAGAACAUGUGCAUCUAGCUAUGUCUAACAGAUAUAACUACCGUACACAACAAGAAGUACCGCGAGAAGCAUUUCUUCAUCUGGUAUCGGCUCUGCUUCAAUGCCUCGGGCAUGCCCUCGGCGAUGCUGUCUGACCUCUUGAAGCUAAGCGCGGUGGUGGCAGUGGCUGCCAUGGUUGGUUUUCUGGAUAGCUUUUGAAGCCUACACAGAAGGAAGGUUGGGUUGGCACAUUUUCCUGAGAGCCAAUUUAUAGGCAAUGAGUUCCCUUUCUUGCUCCGGCAGAAAGAUGAAGCACAUUUCUCUUCCCUGAGGAAAGAAACCAAUAGGAAGGAAGCUAAGUAAGGCAUUUUAAAACUAUUUGGAGAUUCCUUGUUUGGCUUGCUUGUAAACAAACUACCUUUGCAACAGUGUCAAUCUUUUUUUUAUUUUUUCGAAGUUUGCAUUCAAAAUA